UUUCUCCUCACCCCCACUGUGUCCCACAUGUCAAGGGCAGGGGGAGCCCCCGACUGGGAGGACUCUGGCUGGAAGAUGGAGUGUAGACAUACUAGAGUCAGCCCAGUGGCUGACGUCACCACUGGCCGCCCUGCAGGCCAGGCCAGGGCCCGGGAGCUUUAGCUGGAGAGAGGCUUGCCUGCUAACUCAGUACAUAUUUCCUGAGCAUUUGCUCUGGACCAGGUUCCGGGAAUCCAGCAGCAAACAAGACACAGCAGAGGAGUCCUCAUUGGAGUUGCCCUCCCCUUUUCUCCCACACUGGGGUGGGGACUGGAGACACCCUUCUCCUGCAGGCUCAAAGCCAGGUUUGAAGGAGUCUCUGAGUCCCUCCUGCAGAGCCCCAGCCUGGGGGACUUAGCUUGGUCUCUGGGGCCCCAGGGCAGCAACGUGCCUGAGGGCAGCUGAGGAGGGACUGGAGAGGGGGCGUCUGUGAAUUCUGAUGUCGACCACCCUCCCAGGUCCCACCGGCUCCUGGGACUGCAGGAGGAGGGGCAAUGAAGGACCUGUCCUGGAUGAAGGCUGUCCUCCAGCCACUUUCCUGGCAUUUGUCACUGCCUUUUUUGUCACUUUUUCCUGGUCCACACCCACCAAUGACACGGACUAUUACUGGAGAGGAAUUGGCAGGGAGCAAUGCGAGGCUUCAGGGGCCUGGCCCCUGCUUCCCGGAAGCAUCCGCAUUUUCCUGUAAACAGUUGCAUAACUUCAGGGCUAAGUCUGUGGGUACCGGCAUUUGGGUUUAACACCGUUUCCAGCACUUACUUGCUACGUGACUAUGGAGAAGUUACUCAGCCUCCCUAUGCAGUAGUCUUCUCUUCUGUAAGAUUGGGGAACACGCCUGAUGGUGUGAGGGCUAAAUGAAGUAACAAGAGCUAAGUGCUCAGAACAGUGCCUGGCAUGCGGUAGGCACUGGGUAAAGGAGGGAUGUCAUUCUGCCCCUGCUCCCCCUCAGUUCCAAAAAGCCCUCUUCUCUUAGAGCUCCUGCCCAGCCUUCCUUCUCUCCCCCUGCCCUCCCUUCUCACUCAGCAGCCUGAGUCCCCUUAGCCCAGUCCCACCCUCCUUUUCUUAAUCAGACUCUGGCUAAGCCUAAGCCAGAGCCCCCUUGGCUGACAUGCCCCAAGAACUCACCACUUGCCUGGAAGUUCACUCUGAAGUCUACCUCAAGUUUCUCCUGCUGCUGUCGUUGCCUGCUGUAUGCUACUCUGAGGUUUCUGGGUCCUGUUCUCUGGCUUGUGAGCCCUUUGACAGUAGGAAAGGCUGGUGGUCCUUGCACAGUUGUGCCCUGCCCAGCAGGUGGAUCCGGCCCAAGAAAGCCAAAACUGGGUUCUGGGCAGUGUGGAGUUUCUCCCAGAACUCUACCUCCUGGGAAUCUGAGUUGCUUGAGGCCAGAGCAGAGCUGAGAUGAAACGGGGAGGCCUGGGGGCCACUCCUGUACCAGGCCCCCAAACGACAGGAGCUAUGUCUGCUCUACUGCCUCUCCCAGGAAUCACACCCUGCCUAUCUGCCUCAUUAACUCCCUGGCCCACAGGACAGAGAUGUUGGUGCCUGCCAGGUCCCUGGGCCCCAGAGAAAGAGCCAUUAGCAACUACAGGACCUGUCUCCCGUCCUCACCCAGGGCCAGCAUCACUCACUCCAGCCCACACCCCUCUCUCUCUCUGAGCACACCACAGUCUAGAAACUGUUCAGUUCAGGGGUAGGCUUGUGGGCUGUGGGAGGGGACCUGAGAUGGGAGAAGACAUUGGGGUAAAAAAGGAUCAGUGAAGCGCCCAGUAAAAGAAUCAGCUAGAGGGCCGGGCGCAGUGGCUCACGCCUGUAAUCCCAGCACUUUGGGAGGUUGAGGUGUGCAGAUCAUGAGGUCAGGAGAUCGAGACCAUCCUGGCCAACAUGGUGAAACCCCGUCUCUACUAAAAACACAAAAA
ensembl:lncRNA